AUGCCAUGAUGGGGACAUUUUCUCAGCAACUCCUUGAACCUUUCCCAAAAGUCAUACAAAGAUUCACCAACCAGGUGAUAGAAAUUAUUGAUCUCCACUCUCAAUUU